CCUACGGGAGGCAGCAGUGAGGAAUAUUGGUCAAUGGACGAGAGUCUGAACCAGCCAAGUAGCGUGAAGGAUGACUGCCCUAUGGGUUGUCAACUUCUUUUAUAUGGGAAUAAAAUGUUCCACGUGUGGGAUUUUGUAUGUACCAUAUGAAUAAGGAUCGGCUAACUCCGUGCCAGCAGCCGCGGUAAUACGGAGGAUCCGAGCGUUAUCCGGAUUUAUUGGGUUUAAAGGGAGCGUAGGUGGAUUGUUAAGUCAGUUGUGAAAGUUUGCGGCUCAACCGUAAAAUUGCAGUUGAAACUGGCAGUCUUGAGUAAAGGAGAGGUGGGCGGAAUGCGUGGUGUAGCGGUGAAAUGCUUAGAUAUCACGAAGAACUACGAUGGCGAAGGCAGUUCACUGGACUGCAACGGACAUUGAGGCUCGAAAGUGUGGGUAGCAAACAGGAUUAGAUACCCUGGUAGUC
rnacentral:rRNA from 1 species